CUCGUAGGCGGCCAACUAAGUCAGACGUGAAAUCCCUCGGCUUAACCGGGGAACUGCGUCUGAUACUGGAUGGCUCGAGGUUGGGAGAGGGAUGCGGAAUUCCAGGUGUAGCGGUGAAAUGCGUAGAUAUCUGGAGGAACACCGGUGGCGAAGGCGGCAUCCUGGACCAAUACUGACGCUGAGGAACGAAAGCCAGGGGAGCAAACG
rnacentral:rRNA from 1 species